CACGUAGGCACCAAGCGUUAUCCGGAAUUAUUGGGCGUAAAGAGCUCGUAGGCGGUCUGUCGCGUCGAAUGUGAAAACCCGGGGCUCAACUCCGGGCUUGCAUUCGAUACGGGCAGGCUAGAGUUCGGUAGGGGAGUCUGGAAUUCCUGGUGUAGCGGUGAAAUGCGCAGAUAUCAGGAGGAACACCGGUGGCGAAGGCGACUACCUGGCCUGUUCUUGACGCUGAGGCGCGAAAGCUAGGGGAGCAAACGGG
rnacentral:rRNA from 1 species